UACGUAGGGGGCUAGCGUUGUCCGGAAUCAUUGGGCGUAAAGCGCGUGUAGGCGGUUCGGUAAGUCUGCUGUGAAAGUCGGGGGCUCAACCCUCGAAUGCCGGUGGAUACUGUCGGACUAGAGUGCGGAAGAGGCGAGUGGAAUUCCUGGUGUAGCGGUGAAAUGCGCAGAUAUCAGGAGGAACACCAAUUGCGAAGGCAGCUCGCUGGGACGUUACUGACGCUAAGGCGCGAAAGCGUGGGGAGCGAACAGG
rnacentral:rRNA from 1 species